UGUCAUCUGAUUUACAGAUUUGUGUUUGUUUGUGGCUUGAAUGACAGUUGCUGAUUGAUAUAAGCAAUUUAACCUUUAAUCAAUGGGGCAUUUGAAGUAUCUAAGAAGUUAGGAUGACUUUGCUUGUAAGACAGAAAUCAGUUGCAGAGUUUCAGUACAUUCCGUUUAUUUGAGUUCGUCAUAUAAGAUGAUGAUGAGUCUGGUGACUGGUGUAAAUCUUCUUGUGUGUAUGAUGCAAAAGCUAAGUAUAGAUCACAGGAAUGCCAUUUGUUGUUUGACAUGUUACGAUUCCAGGAGAGGGUUACUUUCCAACCAAAAUGAAUUUACCUUAAUCACAUAUCACUAUCACUAGUGAACAACAUAUGUUGGAUGGCUAUGUGGUUAGCAUAUCUGAUUGUCGUAGUUAAAGUCCCAGGAUCGAUACCCCAUUGCAACAGUCAGUCAUUGUGUAAAGGUGGAAUAUUUCUCAUACAGCUCCUACUGCGGGUGUCAGUCGGAAAAAUAUAAACGAACUCACCACUUCUAAGUUUGUCGUAUUGCUUGUGCCUAACAACAAGCAUACCUAUAUAUAAUUCACCUUAAUCACAUAUCACUAUCAACAGUGAAAACAUAUGUUGGAUGGCUUUUUGGUGAGCAAAUCUGAUUGUCAUAGUUAAAGUCUCAGGAUCGAUACUCCAUUGCAAAACAGUCAAUCAUUGUGUAUAGAUUCCAUACUUCAAUUUAAUUUGUAAUUUCAGUUAUUUGUUUACAAUUCUUCGAAACCAAUAGGAAUAGUAUAAUUCAGUCUUCAGUAAUGGAUCUAACCAGGUACUUUAGGUAGAAUAUAAUUUCAUUUGGAAUUAUAUUGUUGAAACAUGAGAAAAAUGCUUUGCGCAUUGAAGAGUUCGCUGUAUCGAUGUCAUUACAUUGUGUUUUGGGAUUUUAUUUGCCCUUAACGUAUGAGUCAGAUGGAUUUUCAAUUUAAUCAAUUGAAUUGAUUGAUACGGAAGAUUUAAAGACAGGAUUGAAAGAAUUAAACAUUCAAGUGUGCAUGUCAAAUAUUUUGUAUUAUAGCUGUGAUUCAGUCAUUCCAUACAUGACCGAAAAUUUAUUUUCAUUCACAACCCGUUAAAGAAAAAUUGUUUACUCCGUGGCUGAUUGGAUUCCAAUGAGUUCACGAAAAAAAUUUUUUUAAACGCAGGUCUUGGUAAUAAUGGCUUGGUGAACAUGUCAGCAGGUUCAUCCUUUCCGGGCACGUGAGUUACUGCAAUGUUGCCCAGGUCUUGUUUGUCACGUAUAUUGUCGUUUCUCACCUAAAGAGAAAAAUAUACUGAACAUAUUUGUCACUGUCAA